rnacentral:rRNA from 1 species
UUCGGUGGUUAUAGCAAAGAUUUCCAACCCGAUCCCAUCCCGAACUCGGUAGUUAAGGUCUUUAGCGCCCAUGAUACUGCGCCUUAAGGCGCGGGAAAGUAGGACGCUGCCGAAU